rnacentral:rRNA from 1 species
CCUACGGGCGGCAGCAGUGAGGAAUAUUGGUCAAUGGACGAGAGUCUGAACCAGCCAAGUAGCGUGAAGGAUGACUGCCCUAUGGGUUGUAACCUUCUUUUAUAAAGGAAUAAAACGAGGCACGUGUGCCUUUUUGCAUGUACUUUAUGAAUAAGGAUCGGCUAACUCCGUGCCAGCAGCCGCGGUAAUACGGAGGAUCCGAGCGUUAUCCGGAUUUAUUGGGUUUAAAGGGAGCGUAGAGGGGUUGUUAAGUCAAGUGUGAAAGUUUGCGGCUCAACCGUAAGAUUGCAAUUGAUACUGGCAGUCUUGAGUACAGUUGAGGUAGGCGGAAUUCGUGGUGUAGCGGUGAAAUGCUUAGAUAUCACGAAGAACUCCGAUUGCGAAGGCAGCUUACUAAACUGCCACUGACACUGAUGCACGAAAGUGUGGGUAUCAAACAGGAUUAGAUACCCCUGUAGUC